rnacentral:lncRNA from 1 species
ACAGGAUUUAGAGGGUGGAAAGUGACAAGAAGAGAAACAUGGCAGGAAAAAUGGGGGUGAAAUUUUACAUGGAGCCAUGGGGAAGGCUGCUGAGGAAGACCUGUAGGAGUGGGGGGCUCCCAGACAGGAACUGUGGCCCACUGCACGGAUAUGAGCAAGUUUGGAAGGGAAUGAGUCCCCCCAAGCCUCAGCCUCGGCCAGCCAUUCUCAGGUCUAGGCAGGAAAGAUGCCAGCUGUCCCACGUCAGCUGAGGUGUUCAAACAGCGGUGUCCCCUCAGCAGGGAGACUGCAGAGGGGAUUGAAGCCUUGGGCAGGGGGCUAAAGUAGGCCAAUCCUCAUUCUGCAAGUGUCCUUGGCCCCGCAGUUUGUUGGCUGUGCAGCGUCUCAGGCACUCCCUGAAGGUCGAGUCUUGGCCGAGAUUUCGGCUCACCCCAGUCCAGCUUCUGCUCCUAGCCAGGAAUGGCGUUUCCUAACCACACGGAGCAGGGAGGUACAUCUCCACCCACUCCCAUUCCUUCUCCACAGCUUGCCAUGGGGCAGUGCUGGGUUUAGUUCCUCUCCUUAUUUGGAGCUGGGGUGUGGACAGGUGUGCAGGUGGACAGGCAGCAGCCAAGGUAGAACGCAAGUCAGCCACGGGUGGCAUGUCGGGAAGCACCAGAAGGUGCAAAAGUUUGGCAUCCAGGGCCUCCCUGAACCGACUGAAAUUUGGUCUAAAUGUGCUCUUGUACCCACGUGGGAGGGCUCAGUGCCGCCUGGGUCUGGAUUUCCUGGAGAUGGGAUUUCAGGGAGCAGAGGACGACUCUGGAUGAGUGACCUAGCCGAAAAUUAGAUCCUGACACAUAUUCAAGGAACCUGCUGCAGCUGUUUCUCCAAGAACAGAGAGCCUGGGGAUGUCCCAUCUUCAGCCCAUCAAGUCCCAAGUGCUUAGUCACCUGCUCAGCCCAGACAUGAGGGAUGCCAUCAAAGAAAAGCGAACAAUAACACACCCGUGACAAAGCCAUUUACUAAAUUAAUAGAGGCAAGGAGCAUAAAACCCUGAAAGAACGAUUAAACCUUGCAUUUGCUCCAAGCCUAUUCCUUUUCCACAUCUGCAUUUGCCAGGUCAUCUGCUCCUAACAGUCUUAUCCUUUUUGUGCCAUGAACCCCUUUGGUAGUUUGGUGACUGCCAAUAACAAAUCAAAUAAAAUAAUACAUAG